rnacentral:rRNA from 1 species
CACGUAGGGGGCAAGCGUUGUCCGGAUUUAUUGGGCGUAAAGCGCUCGCAGGUGGUUCGUCGCGUCGUGCGUGAAAGACCCCGGCUCAACUGGGGAGUGUCGUGCGAUACGGGCGAACUGGAGGCCAGUAGGGGGAUGCGGAAUUCCGGGUGUAGUGGUGGAAUGCGUAGAGAUCCGGAGGAACACCAGCGGCGAAGGCGGCAUCCUGGACUGGUCCUGACACUCAGGAGCGAAAGCGUGGGGAGCGAUCCGG